GGCGGCGCUGCGGAGGGCGAUGCGGGCGGCCUUCAUCGCUGCCGGGCCGGCAGGUGCGUGGCAGAUGGGUCCAGAAGAGUGGAAUGAAUGAAGCCUGGAUUCCUGUCCAUUUGUCUCCUAAUAGCUCUCCACUGCAAUCAGCUGUCUCUCACCUCAUGUUCCCUGUGUGGUCACCCCUGCCGGAGACACAGCGUGCUGUACUGAGGUCAGAGCUGUGUUCCUGGUCAGGCAGCCUGUGUAAUACCUGACCAUGUUGCUGAUGUCUAAAAAAAGUAUCAUGGUUGCAUUUGA